GGUCGGGUGGUGUAGUUGGUUAUCACAUCUCGUUAACAUCCAGUUAAUAGCAUUACUGUAACACAGUACCGAGAAGGUCCUGGGAUCGAACCCCAGCUUGAUCA
rnacentral:tRNA from 1 species